AUUGAACGCUGGCGGCGUGCUUAACACAUGCAAGUCGAUCGGUAACAGGUGUAGCAAUACAUGCUGACGAGAGGCGGACGGGUGAGUAAUGCUUGGGAAUCUGCCUAUUAGUGGGGACAACCCGGGGAAACUCGGGCUAAUACCGCAUACGCUCUAACGGAGGAAAGCCGGGGACCGCAAGGCCUGGCGCUAAUAGAUGAGCCCAAGUCGGAUUAGCUAGUUGAGGUACGGCCUACCAGCGACAAUCCGUAGCUGGUCUGAGAGGACGACCAGCCACACCGGAACUGAGACACGGUCCGGACUCCUACGGGAGGCAGCAGUGGGGAAUAUUGGACAAGUGGGGCAACCCUGAUCCAGCGAACGCCGCGUGGGUGAAGAAGGCCUGCGGGUUGU
rnacentral:rRNA from 1 species